AGAACGAACGCUGGCGGCAGGCCUAACACAUGCAAGUCGAACGCUCGUAGCAAUACGAGAGUGGCAGACGGGUGAGUAACGCGUGGGAACCUUCCCAGUGGUACGGAAUAGCUCAGGGAAACUUGAGGUAAUACCGUAUACGCCCCUCGGGGGAAAGAUUUAUCGCCAUUGGAUGGGCCCGCGUAGGAUUAGCUAGUUGGUGAGGUAACGGCUCACCAAGGCGACGAUCCUUAGCUGGUCUGAGAGGAUGAUCAGCCACACUGGGACUGAGACACGGCCCAGACUCCUACGGGAGGCAGCAGUGGGGAAUAUGGACAAUGGGCGCAAGCCUGAUCCAGCCAUGCCGCGUGAGUGACGAAGGCCUUAGGGUUGUAAAGCUCUUUUGGCGGGGAAGAUAAUGACGGUACCGCAGAAUAAGCUCCGGCUAACUUCGUGCCAGCAGCCGC
rnacentral:rRNA from 1 species